UUCCGGUUGAUCCUGCCGGACCCUACUGCUAUCGGGAUGGGACUAAGACAUGCUAGUCGUGCGCCUCCAAGCCAUGCUGGAGGCGCGGCGCACGGCUCAGUAACACGUAGUUAACCUGCCCUUGGGACGGAAACAACCCCGGGAAACUGGGGCUAAUCUCUGAUAGGUGAAGAACUCUGGAAUGAGUCUUCACCCAAAAGACGCCUAGGCCACGCUCCUAGGCGUCGCCCAAGGAUGGGGCCGCGGCCGAUCAGGUUGUUGGUGGGGUAACGGCCUACCAAGCCUUUUACCGGUACGGGCCCUGAGAGGGGGAGCCCGGAGAUGGGAACUGAGACAAGGGCCCAGGUCCUACGGGGGCGCAGCAGUCGCGAAAACUCCGCAAUACGCGAAGGCGUGACGGGGCUAUCCCGAGUGCCGUCCGCUGAGGAUGGCUUUUCCCUAGUGUAGAUAGCUGGGGGAAUAAGGAGAGGGCAAGUCUGGUGUCAGCCGCCGCGGUAAUACCAGCUCUCCGAGUGGUGGGGACGUUUAUUGGGCCUGAAGCAUCCGUAGCCAGCUGAGCAAGUCCCCAGUUAAAUCCAGCGAUUUAAUCGUUGGACUGCUGGGGAUACUGUCCGGCUAGGGGGUGGGAGAGGCCGACGGUAUUCCCGGGGUAGGGGUGAAAUCCUAUAAUCCCGGGAGGACCACCAGUGGCGAAGGCUGUUGGCUAGAACAUGCCCGACGGUGAGGGAUGAAAGCUGGGGGAGCGAACCGGAUUAGAUACCCGGGUAGUCCCAGCUGUAAACGAUGCAGGCUAGGUGUUAGGGCGGCCACGUGCCGCUCUAGUGCCGCAGGGAAGCUGUUAAGCCUGCCGCCUGGGGAGUACGGCCGCAAGGCUGAAACUUAAAGGAAU
rnacentral:rRNA from 1 species